rnacentral:lncRNA from 1 species
AAGAUCGCCCCUCUCCCACCCCCACCCCUCCCAAAAAAGGGUUUGCCCUAACUUCUCACCCCUGCGGCGGCGGUGCGGCCCUGCCACCGACCGACCCCAGCCCCCAUCCCUUCCCUUCCGGCCGCUCGCCGAACGCCAUCGGAAGCCCCCGCGGGGCCACAUCGAAGAUCGGGUUCUUCACUCUUCAGAAAUCGAAACCCUCCUCGUCGCCUCUUCCUCUUCCGCUUCCGCCUCCGCUUCCGCUAUCCAACGAUGGAUCAGUAAUCGGGUGGUUCUUUAUGAACCAGGUACGAUUUGAGUUUUCAUUCUUCAAAGCAAAAGUUGGAAGCUUUUAGUCCAUCUGAUGGAUACUUUUUUAUACACAAAUGGCUCGAGUGCUUAAAUUGAAUGUGUCCAUUCCCUGUUAUGCACAAAGAAGACCCAAACAUAGAGCUGAAUAAUCUUAAUCAACUUAGGGACCAGGAACUCUUGUAUUAUACCUAAUCAAUUUCAUUCAUGAUCUUGUCGCACUUGCAAAAGGAAAAUUUUGUUGUGGUCUUUCAUGGACCAUUGACUCAGUGGUCUUUUAUGUAUCUUUUAUUUGUUUACUGUUUAGACUUUAGAAUUUAGAUAUGCUAGUAUGCACUAUGCAAAGUGCCAGUUUCAUCUUGUAUUUAGUUUCUAACUAUGCUUGUAUGUGAACCUUUUAUAUUUUACAUAAUAUAGUUUACUAUUUUUUUUUUACUUAAUUAGUUUAAUUUUCUAGCUCUUUAUUCUUAUAUUCUUAAAAAAAUAUGAGUAUUUAUGCUAAUAGCAUAAAUCUUGAGAGAAAAAAAACUUAAUUUAAUAGCCGAAUUUUUUAUCCCGAAUUUUUAAUUGGUGAACGUAUAAUAUCCGUAUAAAUCACGUAUCCGAAUAAUUGGCGAAUCCGUUUUUUAGCCCUUUUUUUCAACAAAUUUAAAAAUUAGAAGGCGAAUUUUAUCCGAAUUAUACUCAUACCGAAUUUUUGCCGAAUCCGAAUUAACUAACUAUGGUUCCAAUCAACGUCCUUGCCCUUCAAUAAUCUGAUUCGCAAUUGGGCCCCAUAGUCGAGUUUUACUAUUUCUUUCCUCUAUAAAUAUAAAUUUAAAAGGCCGCCCAUUAUCGAAACCCCAAUCCGCCGCCUCUUAUUCGCGGAGACAGCGCGAGCACCUAGAGGAGCGGAGCAAGCGCCUUGCGCCUCUUUUCUUUUAUUAGGGUUUAGGGUUUCCGAUCAUUCCGCAGAUUUCUCCUCGAUAUUUCCCUAUUUUCUUCAGUUUUGGUCUUACCAUAUCUGUUGGAUUCAUCACUAUAGUUGAUGAUCUGGUGAGAGGAGCAAGAGACAAGAUGCUAAGUAAGGCGGGAAAUCUCUCUCCUCCCCAUGGAGGAGAGAAAUUUCCCUACAUACUUCUUCUAAAACCCCAACCCCACUAUUUAUCCCGUUAGAUGUGUUUUAUAUAAAAAGAAAUUUCUAAAUUUUUUUCGGUACCUGUUUCCUAGGAAUUGAACUUGGGACUACUUGGGCCCUCACGCUUGAUAACUAGCGGUGGAUUUUCAACUUUUGUUUAAGACUUUUUACAUGUAGAUUUGAUUGUGUACAAACUAUCUCUAUCUAAUUUCAUGGGCAUUUUUAUCGGAUUAGAAUGCAUCGACUUAUUAGGGAUGUAGUAGUAGUGGUUAUGUUGGUGGACUGAGCAGAUGAUGUUACACUGCAAAAUUGAUGCUGAGAUUUUAUGUCAUUGAAGUAUCAAGAAUCGAGCUUUUUAAAACUGAUGCUCUGCCAAGUACUCGCGUUUGUGCUUGGUUGGUUUGUUGAUAGAUGAGAUCGUCGUAUUCUUGAUUGCAUGUGGUGAGCUUCUUAUUGGCGGUCUUAUGGCAAAAUGAAGAAUAUUUAUUAGUUUUUUUGAAUUCUCUCUAUCAAGCUUAUCGGGAUUUAAUGGUGGUUGGAUUGGUAGGCUGGGCAGAUGAUGUAACACCUACAAAUAUGAUGCUGAGACUUGAUGUCCUUGAUGUCUCAAAAAUCGAGCUUUUUAAAACUGAUGCUCGGCCAAACAUUCGCGUUUUUUGUGGUUUGUUAGUAAUGCGAUGGAAUCAAUGCUACAUGACUCAUCAAUGCUGUACAACAAGCAUUUCUAAAGGAAAAUCAAUGCUGUACAACAAGCAUUUCUAAAGGAAAUUGGCUCAUUUGAGCUACAUGACUCGUCAAGUUUCAAAUGAAUUCGAUUGAGUAGAUAUCAUUGAUGCUUGAUUUAUGUCGCUACAUAGUAUCAUUUGAAGUUUGUGGCUUGUUUGAGUUAAUGAGGAGAGCUCUCUCUUAACUUCCGGCCGUUGUUUAUUCACCGGAAGUUUCUUUUCUGCUAUAUAUGCCAUUUGCUCUCUUUUCUAAAUUAUAUGAAGAGCGAGCCUCGAGUGCUCAUAGUUUUUGUGGAAUCUAUUUUAGCUUCAGAUUUUUUGGAUGACUUUAAUGAGCAAAUGAUGAUAUGAAAACAUGAUUGAGCGAGAUGUCUCUAUGAAAUCUCACAAAAUCGAGCUUUUUAAAACUGAUGCUCAGUUGAUUCUGUGCCUGCAUUGUUAUACGGGUACUUAUCCAAACUUGAAAUUUUAGUAUUUUGAAGGUCUUAAAAUGGCUCAAAAUGCAUGUCUAGUCAAUUAAUCCACUAUUUGUUUUUUUGAUUAUCAGUUCACACUACCUAGUGACAGCUUCAUUCUUUGAAUCUGUGCUGAUUGUUGAACUUCUCUGUUGAGAAUAUUCUGAGUUUCACCAAUUUGGGGCGCCUAAUGUCAGGUGAAGUAAAUUUGCAUUAAUCUACUUAAGAUAUCUUACUCGCUUUAAUUGUUAUGUUGAACACUGGUUGUUAUAAAAGGAUGUCUCAUAUUGCAAAAUACUGUUGUUACAUAUUUCACUAGAUUAUUCAUCUAUUAUUCAAGCAUGUGGGUGUUUGGCCUCGCUUCUAAAAAAUGAUUUUGGACCCAAAAGUGAUGGCUGGCUCAAUAGAGUGUUUAACAACCUCAUUUUCGAAAUCUAAUUCUGAUCUUUAGAAUCAGUUUUCCUAAAAUCGGAAGCAGCAAAAACCUACUUUUGAAAUCGUAUUCUGAUUUUCAACUCCAACCUCAAAUUUUUAUUUUAAUUUUUGAUUCAAAUUUUAAAUUUUUAAAUUCAAAUUUAAUUUUAAAUUUAUAUUUGAAUUUUUUAAUUUCAAAUUUUAACUUUUAAAUUUCAAAUUUCAAAAUUUUAAAUUUUAAAUUUAGAUAUUAAAUUUCAAAUUUAAAAUUCAAAUAUCAAAUUUUAAAUUUUAAAUUUUAAAUUUUAAGAUAAAAUUUUGAUUUUGAAAUUUUAUAAUUUAAAAUUUAAAAUUAUAAGUUUUGAUUUUCAAAUUACAAUUUCCAAAUUUAAAAAAAUCAAAUUUUAAAUUUUUAAAUUUUUAAUUUUUAAUUAAUUUUAAUUUUAAAUUUUAAAUUGUUAGUUUUAUAUUUUUAAUAUUCAACUUUUAAAUUUCAAAUUUUCAAAUGUUAAAAUUUUAGGUUUCAAAUUUCAAAUUUAGAUUUUAUAUUUGAAACUAAAAAUUUAAAUUUUAAAUUUUAAAUUUUCAUAUUUUAAAUUAAAAUUUCAAAUUUUAAAAUGUUGUGCAAAUUUAAAAUUUAAAAUCUAAUAGUUAAAAUUUUAAUUCAAAUUUAAAUUUGUAGUUGAAAUUCAAAUUUUUAGUUUUUUAAAAUAAAAAUUAGUAAAAAAAUUUAUUAUAAUGCCAACAUCGAAAAGGUUUUGCCAAACAGCUUUACAAAAUCACUUUAGAAAAAUCGCUUUUCAUCUAAACUUGGUCAAAUUCUUUGCAAAUUAAUUUUUCAAACUUGCAGUUAUAAUUCACACGGUGUGAAAUGAAGGGUGGAACGGAGGAUGUAUAGACAGGGCGGGCAAAUGAGCGAGCUAGCUCGUGUUCGACUCGCGUCCAGCUCGAUAUUCGGCUCGCUUGAGCUCGGUUCGAAUUAAUUUCAAGCCAAGCUUGAGCCUAAAUUUAGGCUCGAAAUUAAUUUCAAGCCAAGCUUGAGUAUUAUUGGGCUCGCUGGAAUUAGGCUCGAAAAGCUCGAAAUAUAUAUAUAUAUAUAUAUAUAUAUAUAUAGAGAGAGAGAGAGAGAGAGAGAGAGAGAGAGAGAGAGAGAGAGAGAGAGCUAGGCCGGUAUACUAUCGGUAGCACAGAGACCUCCGUGCUACCAAGUUGUUUUCAAUGAUGCGGCUUACAAAUCGACGAUAGGCUCCGUUAGACUUGAUCUACACACUAUUAAAAGUAUUUGGAAACUAAAUUUCAUAAUUUUUCGUCAUGAUAUAUUAUUUUGUGCAAAUGAUGAUUCAUGGUUUACUUAAUGGUUCAUUUUAGGUGUUAAAAAUAAGGUCAAUUGACUUUACUGGUGAUGAAUGAAUAUAGUCGGAACCGAUACAAAAGAAAAUAAUUUAUAAAGCUAAAAAGCUAAUAUAAUUGACAUCAAGAUCAUUGAGAUUUAGCUUUAUAAAGCUAAUAGCUAGAUUAGAAAUCCUCAAAACAUGAUAUAUUAUUCAAAUUAUGUUGUUUAUUAUUUCAAGUAUCUAGUAUCUACAAAGCCGAGUUAUAUCCAUAAGUUAAAUGAUAAAAAAAAACUGCUAUAUGUUGUUUCUGACAUCUUUUACCUUUUUAGCCUUUUCCGAUGAACUUGAGAUUAAACAUAUCACAUUUUUCUUUUCUUGGUUUAUUUGGGACAUCAAUAGCCUGUUUAAACAAAACAGUAUUUUAUAUUUUUCUUUCUCUUCAGACCAAACAAAUUAGGUAACACCAAACAUAUUCAUUAGUAAUACAACAGGGCACUCUAUAUAUUUAAAAAAGCUAAAAAUAAAAGAAAUGUUGUGUCUUUCCUUUAAUAAAUAUAUAUAUGACAAUCUUUUUCAGUUGCUGUGGAAGACCCUGUAGGCAUCUAAUGACUCUCUGCAUCAAGUUUGAUUUGUGAAAUGGUAUUGAAUUGUUGUUUUGUAGUGGAGGUUGCUAAAGCGAAAUAUUCUAUAUUUAGAGCUGCUAAUUUUUGGACCAGUUUUUUCAUGCUGAAGAUUUGACAUACGAUUUCAGACUUAAAAAGUUAUGCAUUUCUUUCCCUUUCAGGGAUAGCUUGAUGCCUAUUGUUUGCCCUAAGCCUAUCCGUGUGCUUGAUAGCUUUACCUCCCUUCAGUCCCUAAACAUAUUUAUUGUGGGCAAUUUUCUUUUUUUUUUUUGAGAGAAAAAAAAGUUACCACGUUAUCCGCUUCGUUUAUUUCAUUCAGAAAUAAACUUAGCUAGAAAUGUGAAUCAACUAGGAUUUGAACUUGGGUCUUGGGUACCAACCACCAAGCCCUUUGCGACUUGCUCUAGGGACGGUCGGUAUUUUUUUUUUUUUUUUCAAUUUUAUUAGGACAACAAUAUGAUGCUGAACAGCUGAAAGAAAGGCGUUACCCUUAUGUGAACUGUCACUUGACCGAGUCCUAGAUCCAGUAACUUAAUUAAUCUGCUAGUUGCUUUAGAACCUUCUCUUUCAAAUUAUAUGUGAAGAGAUGCCCAUUUUGUUUUGUUUUUCCAUAAAAUUGCUGUACAGUUUUCUAAUUUUUUUUAUGCUUUUUCUUUUGCAGAUUUAUCUUGUGGGAACUAGUUAGUUACGAAUAUGCUAAAAUCAAAAGUUAGGAUUGGUUGGCGGGAGAGAAUACGACAUACAUGAGACUUGUUCUUUCUUAUUUAUUUCUCAAUUGCAAACUUACAUGAUUCUGCUGUUUUGCCUGUAAUUGAGCUUGUGAUUAGUUUUCUGCUUCUGAGACUAUAGUUGAUGUGCUAAAAAUGUACCAAGAUACCCGAUACCUGCAUUAUUUCUUACUUUGCUUUCUGGACUUGUUUUGUGCAAAAACUUUAUCGGUAUGAUGCCAUAUCGCAUGGUGGCAGUGCGAUGGUUAUUCAAACACGAUCAAGGGGCAUCAUGUUUGAAACACGGUGAAUCACUCACUAUGAUCGAAAGAUAUGAUGAGUGUUAUACAGGUGGAGGAGUUGAUAAAAGGGUAACAUUGCUGGGGUGUGAGUGGGAUCACAAUCAUGAGAGUGGUUGUGACGCCCCAACUUCCCAGGGGGUCACCCAUCCUAGGACUACUCCCGUCCUAGCACGCUUAACUCUCUUAACCUCUUGGGUCUUGCCACCACCCAAAAUGCUUAAGCCGGGUUAAGAGUUUAGCCCUAUUAUAUCUUAUAUAUAGGACUAUCUGGGGUCUCACAAUCUCCCCUCCUUUAAGCCCUGACGUCCUCGUCAGGCUCAGACUCACAAGUACCAGGCGAUGUGAGACUCGUCUCGCUAGCUCGUCAUCCAGACCCUGGCUCAGCCGAGACUCAUCUCACACUUCCGGCUGGUAAUUGGCUCUGAUACCAUCUGUGACGCCCCAACUUUCCAGGGGGUCACCCAUCCUAGGACUACUCCCGUCCUAGCACGCUUAACUCUCUUAACCUCUUGGGUCUUGCCACCACCCAAAAUGCUUAAGCCGGGUUAAGAGUUUAACCCUAUUAUAUCUUAUAUAUAGGACUAUCUGGGGUCUCACAGUGGUUGGACUGGAAAAUCGCCACGAGGGACCAAGAUUAAUAUAUCGAGCACAAAUUUAGUUAGGAUACUAUUCUUAUUGUUUUUGUAGUAUGCUAAUAUGGGUAUGGGAUGUUCUUUGAGGAAAGUGUAAUCCCACCCAGCUCAUGUAUAUAAUUUUACAUUGCUCCAACAUAAGUCAUCUUCCGCAUUUUUGUGAGGGUAUUUAAUUAUCUAAAUCUGAAUGGGUAAAAUUUUUCACCGUAUUUGAUAGAAUAGUCAUGAUAUUUGCUAUUAUUUUUAUUCUAAAUUUGCACUUUUUGGACGAAAGUUUUUACUUUUGGGGUGAAAAUUAUACUGUUUUUUCUUGCAUGGCCUCUCCGGCUUCACUAGAUCCUCCAACCCCACAAAGGUUUUCAACCCCGCUUAGGCUCUGUGCUCGCCGGUCGCCUCCUUUCCACCCCGCGUGCUCUAAGCUCACGCCCACGCACUCCUUGCCCUCCUUGCUCUUAACCCCACUGAGGCCGCACUCGCCUCUGACCCCUCCGAUUGGCGAGUUUUUAGAAGUGAGUAUGGUGAGUGGCGGAUUUGCUGCGGCAGAAAUUGAGGGCGGAGAGGAGAUGGGUGCAGAAGAAGCAUGAGGAAGCGGAGAGGGAAGGAGGAGAGGAGAAGAAGCAAUGCAACUUUUGCCCAAGGAGUGCAACUUUAGUAUUAAAAGAUGUAAUUUUUUUUUCAAAAAAUUAUUAACUUUCGUCUAAAAUAGUGCAACGUUCUUUUGAAAUAGUGCAACUUCAUCUUCUUUUUUCGCUGGUUCUUAGCUUUUUUUUAGAAUAAAUUAUUUUUUUAUUUUUUAUUU